CCUACGGGUGGCAGCAGUGAGGAAUAUUGGUCAAUGGGCGUAAGCCUGAACCAGCCAAGUCGCGUGAGGGAUGAAGGUUCUAUGGAUCGUAAACCUCUUUUAUAAGGGAAUAAAGUGCGGGACGUGUCCCGUUUUGUAUGUACCUUCUGAAUAAGGAUCGGCUAACUCCGUGCCAGCAGCCGCGGUAAUACGGAGGAUCCGAGCGUUAUCCGGCUUUAUUGGGUUUAACGGGUGAGUAGGCGGCCUUUUAAGUCAGCGGGGAAAGUAUGUGGCUCAACCAUAGAAUUGCCGUUGAAACUGGGAGGCUUGAGUAUGUUUGAGGCAGGCGGAAGGCGUGGUGUAGCGGUGAAAUGCUUAGAUAUCACGCAGAACCCCGAUUGCGAAGGCAGCCUGCCAAGCCAUGACUGACGCUGAUGCACGAAAGCGUGGGGAUCAAACAGGAUUAGAUACCCCAGUAGUC
rnacentral:rRNA from 1 species